rnacentral:rRNA from 1 species
GAUGAACGCUGGCGGCGUGCCUAAUACAUGCAAGUCGAGCGAAUGGAUUAAGAGCUUGCUCUUAUGAAGUUAGCGGCGGACGGGUGAGUAACACGUGGGUAACCUGCCCAUAAGACUGGGAUAACUCCGGGAAACCGGGGCUAAUACCGGAUAACAUUUUGAACCGCAUGGUUCGAAAUUGAAAGGCGGCUUCGGCUGUCACUGAUGGAUGGACCCGCGUCGCAUUAGCUAGUUGGUGAGGUAACAGCUCACCAAGGCAACGAUGCGUAGCCGACCUGAGAGGGUGAUCGGCCACACUGGGACUGAGACACGGCCCAGACUCCUACGGGAGGCAGCAGUAGGGAAUCUUCCGCAAUGGACGAAAGUCUGACGGAGCAACGCCGCGUGAGUGAUGAAGGCUUUCGGGUCGUAAAACUCUGUUGUUAGGGAAGAACAAGUGUUAGUUGAAUAAGCUGGCACCUUGACGGUACCUAACCAGAAAGCCACGGCUAACUACGUGCCAGCAGCCGCAGUAA